GGAGAAGGAGAAGGAUCCACCGGUCCAACGGCCACCCUCUUAAAGGAGGAGGGUAGAAUUUAAGGGUGCGGACGUGGACAAGUAUAUGAUCAGAUCGGAUCAAUGGUUGAUCGAGAAGAAACAGAACACAUAUAUGAUUGAAGCAGUAGGGUCAGGAUUCAAGAGUCAAGACGGGUGUUGUCAUCUCAGGUUCUGUAGCUGCAGUGCCAACAGUGAGUUGUCUCUUAUUUCCUCUCCCUCUUUUGAUGCGAUGAAACUCUAUAUGUUCUUGGACAUUUGAAAUCUUCAGCCAAUGUUCGGUUUGAUUUAACACUUUGGCAUUAAGAAAAUCUAUUAUAAGUUUGCACCA